CGGACGCUUCGAGCUAGUACUACCAUUAUUCCACUGAGCUGAGCUUCGUGAGAGAGAGGAUUCGAGAAAGUGAGGUCCCCCGUCCGGCAGUCCAGGCUCGUGGUCGUGGCCAGCGACAAAGGGAGCAGCCGCUCCUGCCGGUGCUGCCGCUGCCCGACUCCGGCGCGCCCAAGCCCCGACCAAGGCUGGAGUAGCUGCUCUGGCAUGCCGCCGUUCCCCUCCUCGACCGACCAGAUCCGUUGGAGAAGGUGGGGACUUGCAGAGCGCGCGGCCGGCUGGGUGCAGCGCUGCUUCGCCGGGAUGCCGCACGAGGUCGUGCAGGCGCACAUCAAGAUGGGAGGCCGAUGCACACUCGUCGGACAGAGAUUCAAGGCAUAACAACAAACCUAUGGAUGAUGAAGUCGCGGGAGCUCCUUCCAUGCCGAAGAACACCGUAGAUGCUGGUCCACCUGAGAGGGCAAUUCUCUAUCGAUCCUGGUCUAUUCUCGUGUGAUCCACAAUGGAGUGGAUAGAUAGGAGAAAGGAUGUUGGAGAUUUUGGCGGCAGUGUGUUGAUACGCGGGAGAAAGAAAGACAAUUUUGCUGAUUUUCUGUAAUUAGAGAUAUACCAUCUGGUUGUUUGGGUGAUGGGUCCACCAGGCCACGUGUUGGCCGCUGGUUGGCCCUGCACGAUAGUGCGUGCAGGGAUCCCAGCACGAGAGCCCGACCCAUCUCUGUCACUGAGAGGACCCGCAUUUGUUGAUUGUUUUUCUUUGAUGCGUCAAAUUUCCUAGUUAGAAAACUUUGUACUUUCUGAAAGUAGAAUUGCAAGCAAGCAAAAAUGGUAGUCCCUGUCUUUCAGUUCUAUAAACAUAUUAUUUCAUACACCAAAAGUAGUAUGACCCCCUACAUGUUUAAAUAGUACAAACAUUGUUAACAUCAUCUUUUGUCUAAAACCCACCGUAGCACCUUUCCUGGUCAUUAUUUAGUCUGGAAUUCUGUAUUUGCACCAUGUGAUGGUCCUACUUUAAAAAUGUUUUGGCCUCUAUCUGGUUAAAUGUUUGAAAAAUUGGAUCCUUUAUGUGAACCAGCAUGAUUCUCUCUAUUACUCGGCAAUAGCGUGUUAUUCACAUAAGUUCAAUUGUGUUUGAGAUAUGGAUAGUGGCCUGGUGCUACAUUAGAGUUUAGGGGACUAUCUGGGUCCAAACUGUUUGUAGCAUAGUGGUCAGCAUGCUAUUGUUCUAGUCAGGAUCCCUGAUGUGAUUCCCUCAGGCAGGUACCCCAAUGAUUCCAUUGUUGAUGGCGAUCAAGCAGAUUACCUACCUGAUAAGAUUCUGCCCAACUAAGGGAGAAGUGGAGCUGCUCUAACCUCUAAGCUUAGUUUUGCCAGUGAUACCAUGGAUGCCAGAUGGACUUGAACCAUGUGAACGAUGUAGUCCGUGUCUACGCCCAUGUGGCUGGUGCCUCGGUUCUGGUAUCCCGAUGAUUCCAUCAUUGAAGGUGAUCAAGUAGAUUACCUACCUGAUAAGGUUCUAGCCCACCAAGGGAGAACUGGAGCUGCUCUGAACUCAAAGAUUUUACAGUCUACAAGGAGUAUGUAGGACACUUCCAAUAGGUCAUCUUGGUGAUCUAGGGGGGAGAAGCUACAACAUAGCAAGCCUUCAACCAUGGUCAUGAUGGCCUGGCAGCAGUACAAUAACAUGUAGCCUUGUUUGUCGUGUGACGACGGCAAAGGUCUGCUUGUAUGAAAUGUGAUGAUUUUUCGUCUACGGGCGAAGUUGUAUUAUUUCCAACCCUGCAACGGUUCCAGAAGAUAGCAAAUUGGCAAUGUUUGAACUGGAGCUUGGAUGCUUAUGCCCUACUGUAGCCAAGCUCUCCAUUCACAUGCACCCUCCAUAGACGACAUCAGCAAAGAGUACCACCGGGUCGCAAGCAACACCAUCCACCCUGCACAAGGUCGCUCCCACCCAAGACGCCUUUCUUUCUUCCUUCAAGUUAUUGAUGCUGCUAUGUUUGUAGACACUUGGUACAAUCCACUUGCUGUUCACAGUGGACUACUUGCUAGCUUUUGCCUAGUUACUCAUGUUUGACAUACAUAGUCUCUCUGUUCAUCAAAUGCAAAUGGUCGCUGCUUCGCUAGUGUAUGCAAUUUUCCGCGAUGAUAUGUGUUUUCAUGACUAGAUUUUGUAUGGUGGAAGUUUAGUAGGUUCCAUGGUGUAGAGUGGCCUCUGCCAUGUCUUGUAUUGGAACUCCAAUACCAAGUAGACCUUGGGAAGGGCCCUUUGUGGUCAGCAAGAAUCUGCACAAUAGAUCAUACUACCUCAUUGACGUUCGAGAGCACAAAGACUCACGCAGUUCUGAGGAGGAGACCCGGCGGCUGUGGAACAUAGCUCUCGUUCGGCCUUACUACGCCUGAGCUAUAG